rnacentral:tRNA from 1 species
UCCUUGGUGGUCCAGUGGUUAAGACUCUGCGCUUCCACUGCCAAGGGCCUGGGUUCAAUCCCUGGUUGAGGAA